AUCUUUUCAGCCUCCACAAAAGAAGGCUGAGAGGGCAUUUUCGUUGCUCUUGGUUCCCUGUCUCAGUGAGAUGCAUUCCCAUCCCUGACUUUUUCAAACACAAGUGAGAGUGGAUCAGAAACCUGCAAGGUGAACAAAGAGCUAAGUUAGAAGGAAAGGCCAGCAGCACAAACACAUCAUAUUGCAACAAAAAAACCCAGCCCCACCAACUGCCAUGCUCUUUUAGAAGCUUCUCCCCUGUCGUGCUCCUGUGUCGAGUCUAAGCUGCAAGCCAAAGGGAACUCUACGCACACCGCUACAGGCAGAAUUUGAGGCACUGGUUGUUGAGCAGGGACACCAGUUACAUCCUGGCUGCAGUCUUGGCUCCAGCAAGAACCUGACAGUAACACCCGUGCCCUAGGACUGUGGGGAGAAGGUUGUGCAAGGAGGGGUAGUAGGAGUGCUGUGGGGGGGGGGCAGCGUGAAUUGGUCAAAAAUAAAUUAGAGAGUCCAAGGCCUCCUAUGUGACAGCUAAGAAUCUGCCUAAUCAAGUCAACUCUUCCUUUACUCAUUCCUGUGCCCUGACAACCUCAGUCCUUUUGAGAAGAGAAAGAACUGACAGCACCAGAAUGAGCCACAAUGGCAUGGAAGGAGCUGGUGAAAGAAACAGCUCUGGCCCCUGAAGCUCAGAAAGCCCUGGUAUGCCAGGAUGCAAAGAGACAAGCCAACUCUGGGGACAAAGUUCCCUGUUAGCAGGUGUUGACACCUGAAGCCCAGCAGUGCCAUCCAUUCACCUGGCCUCUGAGCAGUAAUUGAAACCUCUGGCCACUGGCAGCUCCUUGGCAGCCUGGCUGCCCCUCUGCCACAUAAGACAGCAGAGGGACGGAGGAGGCCCCCCAUCAGAAGUCUGAUAUCCAAACCAGGUAGGUCCCAUGAAUUUAAAUCAGGAACAUAAAGUUUGUGCAGACCUUCCAUUCCUGGGGAUGUGGAGGGCAGAUGAGCUAGCUGUGGGCCAAAUCCUAGAUGGGUCCUGGUUCACAUGGAACCAGACAUCAUAGGAUACAGCUCAUGGCAUGAUCACAGUGUUUAUGCUGAAGUGUAGACAGCUUCAGCACAGACCAUAACAUGAGAUGUAGAUGGAAAGAGGUGGGUUAGGAGUCACAGAUGACUUCACUACCUCCUUCAGGGGACCACUAAAUACCAAUUUAGAUGGCUUAAGACUCUUCCUGAGGUAAGAGGGAACAAGGGAAAGGAGUAGGCAGCCCUGCAGGGCAGAAGAAGAGUUUUGUCUAUACAGGAAAAUGGGCCAAAUAGCUUGGCAGACCAGCUCUUGUGCACUCAUUACUCUGCACUGGCUCCCUAAAUGGGCAUUCUCUUUCUACAUUAAAAGUGAUUUUGCUUAAUCCACUCCCAAAGUGAACUGAACUAAUCUGCACAGAGGCACACUUGUGAAAUCAGCGUGUCCACGGGGGCAUGGAGUCCAGAAGACCUUCUGCCCUAUAAAAUUCAUAUCCUGGCUGAUUUUGCAAUAGGUACCCUGAAUGGCCAGCUCAGGAAAAUAUAUAAGCUGAAAAUCUCUGUUUGAGAAAGCAAUCCUGCCUUGUGUCUGAGCUCCUUCAGUGAAGUAGUGCAGGCACGUGUCUCUUUGGAUAUGGUUUUCCAUAUGCAGGACUGCAAACUCUGAAGGGAGGUUCCCACUUCAUGUAUUUUUCAUUGCUCUGGUGUUGCAAGGACUUGAAAGAUCAAGCCAAGAGAAGAGGGUAGAGCAUGACAGAAGCAACUGAGCUGGACUUGGAGAGGAGCAGCUGGCAGGCUGCCUUAAGAAAUAACUGGAAAGGAACAAGAGGAAGGGCUGCAGAGUGCCAGAGGGCCUUAGAAAAAUGAGCAAGAGAGAAGCUGGAAAGUGACUGGAGGGAGUCUGUGUUACACGCCCAGGGGCAGCAACCAGAUGAGCUAAUUGUGGCUGACAGUUCCCAGCACAGGCAGGUCUGGCAGAGGCACACAGUAACUCAGCCAUAAAAUGGGGGGACCACCCCACUGAUCAUCCUUAGUGUCCACCUACACCCUAGCUGUGCCGUAUCACUUGUAAGGGAUGAGGCCUGUCCCUCAAGUGUGAAGACACGCUGUUAUGCUGUUGCAAGUGGUUUAGAUAAGUGAAUGGAAAUAAACAAUGUCCUUUCUAUGUUAAGACAGCUGCAAAGCCGAGGGAGGCCACACAGAUGUUGGGCUCAGUGAUUCAGUAGGGGAUGGUUUGUUCCAUUUCUGCAUCACUCAAAGUGCAUCAGCAAUUCAUACUGUAAAAAGCAGACCAACUUGACAUCCCUGGCCAGGGACUAGAGACAACAGGGAUGAACAACUACUAACAGCAGAAGAGAAAGCAGAGGGUUUAGAAGUAAAGGUGGAGGUUUGCUGUGGUCCCAGGCCUGCAUUGUGACCCAUACAAGCAGACUGCUAUGGAAGUCAAUAGAUUUCAGUGCCCAUAUGUAAUGGGAUUUUCUCCCUUCCUUCGCCCACCCCCUUCUGAAUCCUUCUGCUUCUCUUCUGCCAUUGCUACUCCUUUCCCUUCUUUCUGCAUCUUCUCUCCCUCUCUUGGACUCCUCCUUGCUCUUGCACUCCUUCCUGUCUUCGUCUGCUCUUAAUUCCCUUCCCCUCAAUCUCAGAUAGCUCCUUCCCUCCCCUAGCAACAGACUGGAGUCCCUCCUUGACCUCCUCUCCUCCCUUCCCCAAGGGGCUGAGGGUGAGGAGGAGAGUUGAGGUGCAAAGCUGAAAGUGGGCAGGGAGAGGGAAGUUACUUCAAUAAGAAGGAAAAGCCUAGAGAAGAGGAGGAGGUAAAAUACUGGUGAAAAGAAAGGCUUGGCUCUGUUUUGCUCUCUGCAAUGGAUCCCUCCUAAACUACAACCAGCCCUAUAUUAGCUGCUAGGCGAACACACCUUGCGCCACAGUGGUAUGCGCACCUCCCACACUGCUACUGUGAAACUGGCUGCAUCAGUGAGAUUGUGGAUGCACCCAAUGCUUUCAGCAAGGCUGAUGAGGCACUGUUGAUCAAGGGCAGUCGGAAUAAUGGGGAAGGAUCCAGCACUCACUGAAACCAGGGAGUCAUUUGGAUGGCUCCAGUAGAGUUGGAAAGAGCUAAAAGUUUGGCAGUUCCACACCAGCUCAGGGGUGGGGGAGCACGCUCGGCAGCUUGACAGAGAACACUGCUCCCACUGAAGCCAGUGGCAGCACCCCCAUUGCUUUCAGUGGGAGCUGGUUGUAACCCCAGUGCUUCCAGGAUGCUAAGCUAUGGCAGGUUACAAGUCCUUCAGCCAAUGAAACCCCUCUCCUUGCACCAACUUCUACAGAUAACAAUUCCCUGACUCCGAAUUCUGUGCGGCUCAGACGUAAUGGAAGGAGUGUGACACUUAUGCUACACACAAGCUAGUGAAUAGCUCUUGAUUGUCAAUAGCCCAGUAUUUGCCAGACAGAGCAACAGUUCACAUCUCUAAUGUUUCAGAGACCAAACAACCCGGAUCCCACUUUCAAUUGAAUUCUUUUAUCGGAGGAAUGAAUGCUGGCUUGUGGCUUGGCUGAUCUUGUGGAUUUCAAACUCAGAAUGUGCUGUUAAAUGAAAUACCACACACUUGCGGUCUGCCUCUUUCUCUCCUCUUUGUCUUCAGCAGAAACAAUAGCCAAGGAGUAGCUGUGAGUUAUUUAAUGUCCAUGUCCUAGUGCAGGGGAUGGCAGCAAUCUGGGGCAGAUGUUUUGAUUAGAUUUUUUUCUACCGCAUUGUAUUUCUAUUUGAGAGUACCCAACUACAUUCUGGAGACUUCAGUGUCCUACUGAAAUCCAGACCUAUGAUCAACAGCUAAAGGAGGAAGGGAACCAGGCAGAGGAGGAGUGGUAAUCAUAAUACUCUGGAGUUACCAAGCAUGUAUUAACUUAGUAUUUCCAUUGAUGUCAGUGGGUUGGUUUCUUUAACUCUGCUACAAAAUUUUACAUCUUGCAACCAUUGCAGACAUACAAUAUUUUUCUGUUCUGUUUAAUACUUACGUUGUACCCAAUGUCUUUGGUUUCACUGGGAUCCCACUGUGCUAGGUGCUAGGCAAACAGAAAGUUAAUAAUAGUGCUUUCCCCAAAGAACUUGUAACCUAAAUUAUAAGAUAUGAUGAGGGAAUGAGAUGAACAAGUGGGAACAGAGGAGACAGUUACAAAAAUACAGGGGCCAAAACCCUGACUCCAUUGUACAUCAUGGCAAAAAUCCUAUUGACUUCAGUGGGCCUGGGAUUUCCCUAGGAUGUUUCAGUUCAGAGUACCACUGCCCCCAAUUCUCUGCCAUAGGUGUGUAUGCUAGAUAUGAAUAACAAGGAUAUUGUAGCUUGGCACACCAAGCCAGGAGGUGGAGUUCAGAUGAAGUAGUCCUCUGCACAGGUGAAUGAUGGGCUGGUCAGAGAGAAAGACACAAAUGGGGCGUCAAGUCUGGAGUCACCGGGAGAGUGGAAGAGAAAGUGAUAAGAGGAAAGGUUCAGGGUAGGUCCGAACCUGAGAAAGGCCUUUGAGGUAAGAAAUACCAUAGAAUGGUUGGGAACAUCUGUUGCUAUGUAACAUUUCAUGGUACCGAAAAGAAAACACCAGUGGUAAUUAAUGACCUGGAAUUACCAUUUCCUGUUACUCCUUCUUAACUGAUUUUUUUUAUCAGUAAUUUUCAGAGGGAAAAUAUAUCAGCACAUAUCCAGUUUCCAUACUUGGGAAAAUGAAGCUAGACACAUUAAUCAGUAUGUAGACCCCAUUGGGGCAGAUCCAGGAUUUGGCAAAAUGGGAUGCAGGAAGCAGCCGUCCCUGUUCUCGGCCUCCUCCCCUCCAACUCACCAGUGCAGGCAGAACCUGUGGCAGGAGCAUCUGGGGACUUUUAACGUUCCCAAAGCAGGUAAGCCUACCUACCCCCUUUCCCUUCUGUGCUCAGAGGCACAUCUGCUCUGCUCCCAUCUCCACCCCUCUCUUCCUCCUCCAGUCACUGCUGCUUUUCCUGCUGUCCCAGGGUCACGGGAAGCUUCAGAACUGCUCCUGCGCACUCAGGUUGGGCUGUGUAGGGUUUGGGCUUAGCUGGGAACAGCAGCAGCAGGGAGAGGAUGGGUUCCCCCACACUUCUCAGUCCCCCUUAGGAGUGGGUGCAGGAAGCCACUGCUGCUGUCCCUGCCCUAGGUGAGCUCAGCCCCUUUGCAGCCCAGCUGGAGUGAGCAGGAGCAGCUCUGAUCAUUGCUUCACCCUUAGGACAACAGGGAAAGCAGCCAUGACAGGUGGGGGCCAGCAGAAGGGGAAAAGACAUGUCUGCAAGCAUGAAGAGGAAGAGAAAAUUCUCCUUGACUCUGGGAACUUUUUAAAAGUCCCCUGAAGCUCCAGCAGCACAGUUCAGUCUGAAAGGGGGGGGGGGGGCAGCCACACCACUGCACCCCCUCUGGAUCUGUCCCUGGGUCCCAUUCCUGCAGGGUACCUCACAUGGGUAGAUUGCUACUGGAAGCCAGAGGGCCUGAUCACACACUUCUAUACAUACAAUGAGAUCAGGACCUACAGGGCUUAAUUUUCAAAGGAUAUGAGCACAUGGAAGCUUCCACUGAUUCACAUUAGUAGUUGUAGGUCCCUGAAAAUGGAAGAUCAGACUACAGGGCUCAUUUUAGAUUUAGGUGCAAUAUCAGGCAGUUGUAGUUAGUGAUAUAACAGCUUAUUGCUAAAUGUGUUUAUCAUAGUCACAACUUUUCUAAAAAGUAUCAAUCCACACAAGGCUUUUCAUUUCUGGAAUUUAUACAGACUUAUACUCCUUUGAUGUGAACUUGGCUAAAUGGGUUGUAGAGCAGCAUAAGUGUCAUAAGCCAAUUUCCAUGGCUUUUGUUGUGGAAUUAGAGAGACUCCUCAAACCAUUCCCUGGGGCUCUCCUUGGCCAAAUGGACAAAACUGAACUCUGUGGGCAAGACUGAGAUCUAAAAGCAUGAAGAGAUUGAGCCUGACAGUUUAGUAAGUCAUAACAACACAAAAUGCCAUGAAGGGCAUAUGUAAGUAAAUAUGGGAUCAUUCCAGUGCAUCAACAUUUUCCAAACUGCUCUCCAUAUUUUGGUCUAAAAUCUAGUAUAUACUUAAACUACACUGAAUAUACUUCAGAUUAAUUUAGCCUUACUCAUCCUUUUUUGGAAACUGUACUAUUAUGUCUGUCUUAUUUAUUUAUUUUGUAAGUAGUUUAGGGCAAGGAAAUUCUUCUAGAUGCACAGAUUGCAGCACUAUGGAAUCCCAUCUUUGGCUCACACUUAGAUAUUACCAUAAUAAACAUAAAAUUAUCAUU